rnacentral:rRNA from 12 species
UGUCGUAAGGCAUUGUGGAGCGAUUGGAAAAGAAAAUGUAGGCAUAAGUAACGAUAAUGAAGAUGAGAAAUCUUCACACCGCAAGACUAAGGUUUCCACAGCUAUGUUAAUCAACUGUGGGUUAGCCGGGACCUAACGCGUACCCGAAAGGGGAAGUGGAUGGAAAUUGGGUUAAUAUUCCCAAGCCAGUCAGGAAGUGACGGAGAGACGUGGCAGCUACGGGGUGACGGAAGUCCCCGUUGAGCCUAGAUGCUUGCAUCGAAGCGAAGUUGUAAAAUCUCUUCCAAGAAAAGCCCUGACAUAGCCCGUACCGUAAACCGACACAGGUAGUCGAGGAGAGUAUCCUAAGGUGCUCGAGUGAUCCGUGGUUAAGGAACUAGGCAAAUUAGCCCUGUAACUUCGGGAGAAAGGGCCCCCUCUUCGGAGGGGCGCAGUGAAAUGGCCCAGGCGACUGUUUAGCAAAAACACAGGACUAUGCUAAGUUGAAAGACGCAGUAUAUGGUCUGACACCUGCCCGGUGCUGGAAGGUUAAGUGGAGAUGUCAUCUUCGGAGAAGCAUUGAAAUGAAGCCCCAGUAAACGGCGGCCGUAACUAUAACGG